GUGAGUGUAUCUGUCAAGCUUCUCUCUGCGUAUUUCUCCCUCACCUCGUUCACCAGACCCUGCCAGUCGCUCUCGCUCCUCCUGGACGGAUCCAUCUCUGUUCGCACUGCAGGAAAAAUAAUAUAGUAAUGACGCAAGGACGAUGGUUGAAUAUCUGAACAUUUUGACAUUUGAGGGGCUUUUCCUCUUCCAGGAGGUGUGCUCGACCUGAAAAACCUAAAUUCAAAGGAAAUGCUGUCUCAGAUGCCAGAUGCUGACAGCCCUAUCAAUUUCAAACGUGCUCACUGAGGCACUUUGUUCCUGCUUUAUGGACACAAUGCACAGUCUGUGCAUUUACAAGAAUGGAGGACAGAGAGAAACACAGAUGAAUACAAUAGAUGUGGUUAAAUGCACUUUAAUGCGUUUACACAAACACAUUCUUACAAGACUGAAGGCUUUCAGUGUAGCGCUAGCUCUAGGGUCUAUAGUCAAAACUAAAUAUAUAAAUAUUUGCAAUGUAUUUUAAGAUAGAUAGAAAAAACUAUGGGUUUUAAAGAAAUGUUAAAUACUAACAAAAUAUUGCUUAUGCUAGAUCUUGUUAGCAUUUGGUGACUUUGCAAUGUUUUAACCAUGACCUUAUUUGGACAUCAUGCCAUUGUAAUUUGUGUGUAAAGAUUUAUAUUCCAAACCAA